rnacentral:rRNA from 1 species
AAACCAGCACCUCAAGUGGUCAGGAUGAUUAUUGGGCCUAAAGCAUCCGUAGCCGGCUCUGUUAGUUUUCGGUUAAAUCUAUAUGCUCAACAUAUAGGCUGCCGGGAAUACUACAAAGCUAGGGAGUGGGAGAGGUAGACGGUACUCCGUAGGAAGGGGUAAAAUCCUUUGAUCUAUGGAUGACCACCUGUGGCGAAGGCGGUCUACCAGAACACGUCCGACGGUGAGGGAUGAAAGCUGGGGGAGCAAACCGGAUUAGAAACCCUAGUAGUCC